CCCAAAGUACAGUACCUAACUUCUCUGAAGAAUAUAAAUUCACAUAAAAAAAAAAAUAGAAACCAGUUUUUGAUUCAUUACCUACCCACCCACCUACUCCCCCCUCCUUCACCUCUACUCUUUCUCCUUUCAAGUCUCACAACACAAAAACUAAGUCCAAAUCUUUCAUUUGCUCAUUGCAUUAAUCAAAAGGGCUAAGGGAUUGAGUCAUUUCAGUACAAGUUGGGAUUUUCAAAGAAAAUGUCACUUACUGAUUCAGUGCAAAACAAACAGCCAGGUGUCAUCACCUGCAAAGCUGCUGUGGCAUGGGGACCAGGAGAACCAAUGGUGAUAGAAGAGGUGGAACUGAGUCCACCUCAGCCAAUGGAGAUUCGUGUUAAGGUUGUCUGUACGUCUCUCUGUCGUAGCGAUGUCACUGCUUGGUCGUCACAGGCUCAGGCUUCUAUAUAUCCACGGAUAUUUGGUCAUGAAGCAUCAGGGAUUGUUGAGAGUGUUGGGCAAGGAGUGACUGAAUUUGUAGAAGGAGACCAUGUGCUUACCUUGUUUACUGGGGAAUGCAUGAGUUGCAGACACUGUACCUCAGGCAAAAGCAACAUUUGCCAAGUUCUUGGAUUGGAACGAAAAGGUGUUAUGCAUAGUGAUCAGAAGACGCGGUUCUCUAUAAAAGGGAAGCCGAUUUAUCAUUAUUGUGCAGUUUCAAGUUUUAGUGAAUAUACGGUUGUACACUCUGGUUGCGCGGUCAAGGUCACUCCAAUUGCGCCUUUGGAUAAAAUCUGCCUCCUCAGUUGUGGAGCUGCAGCAGGUCUAGGUGCUGCUUGGAAGGUUGCAAAUAUCUCUGAAGGAUCAAAAGUGGUCAUUUUUGGUCUGGGGACUGUAGGGCUUUGUGUUGCACAAGGUGCUAAAAUGCGGGGAGCAUCUCAAAUUAUUGGUGUUGAUACGAUGCAAGAUAAAUAUGAAAAAGCAAAGGCUUUUGGAGUGACGGACUUUUUGAACCCAAAUGAUACUGAUGAACCCAUUCCACAGGUUAUAAAACGCAUAACUGAUGGAGGUGCAGACUAUUCAUUUGAAUGCAUAGGAGAUACAGGAAUGAUAACCACUGCUUUGCAAUCUUGUUGUGAUGUAAGGAUGGGGCUUGACUGUCACUCUUGGAGUGCCCAAACUGAAGCCGGAGGUAACAGCUCAUUAUGGACUUCUUCUUACCGGUAGAACAUUGACAGGAUCCUUAUUUGGAGGAUGGAAACCUAAGUCUGAAAUUCCUUCAUUAGUUGAUAUGUACCUAAAGAAGGAAAUCGAGAUAGAUGACUUGAUCACACAUAAUCUGCCCUUUGAGGACAUAAACACGGCUUUUGAUCUGAUGAAAAAUGGGACUUGUUUGCGCAUUCAUACACAUGCCUAAGUAGAAAGUUUUCCAAUGGCUGGCAACUAGUUGAAAUUAUUUCACGCUUUCUAUUACCGCGAUGUGGAAACAGCCAAUCACAGUGAACUGCCAGAAAUUUUGAUGUUGUAGUAUAGUGUAUGAACUCAUUUGCUAUCUUCUGUUGUUUUGAGAGAACAAUUUGAACUUUUGUUCAUAGAAGUGGAGUUUGCUAUUGAUAA